AGGAAGCAGAGCACACUUCCUAACAGAACUCUGAAAGUGUCACAGACGGAUGAAUUUGGUGGUAUCCGGUUUGUAAAUCAAAUAUUGUGCACCUACUCCAACUGUCUGGGCAGGGUCAUCAGCCAACGUAAGCCGCAGCCGUGCUACUGAUAACGUGAUCUUAACCCUGCGAAGUAGCAUCAUGAACGAAAUAAUUUAGUUGAUAGUGAGCAAUCGGUGUGGUAGCACAAUCGUUCUAGUAAAAAAAUAUUUCCAACCAGAACUAUGAAGUUCAUCAUUGCGUCGGUUUUAUUUCUGAUCAUUCUGUACAAAUGUUUCAAAAUUGAUACCCCAACGGAAGGAUUCCCCAUACCGGAUACGGAAAGGCAGUUCGAACAGAUUCGAUCAAAACUCAGAGGACAGUCGGAAGAAAAGUGACGCUGGGGUUUCAUCAGUUGUGGAGAUUGGCAUUGGUGAAACAAGCUGAAGUUAUUUUCAUACAGUAUUUAUUGCAACAUUCAUGGAGUAAUUCUCACCUCAAUUUCAUAUUAUAUAGGUCGUAAUCUUGUCAUUUGAUCUCAUUACACGAUGAAAUAAAAUAAUGUGCCAAUGAAGUGUUCAUCUAAUCAGAAUAUAUACAUGUUUCAAUAAAGCAUCUUCUUACUUUAUACUGUU